AGGCAGUGAGUUGAUAGCGCCCUGA
rnacentral:miRNA from 1 species